rnacentral:sRNA from 2 species
CUGGAUAAAUUUUAGACAACCUCAUGGAUUCUCCGGGGUCAUCCGAAAAAAACGUGGCACUCUUUGCUCGUACUCAGUUUACUUACAAAAAGUUAUAGGUAGUAUGUUGAUCGGCGAAUUUCCCUCGCAUGGGAAA